rnacentral:rRNA from 1 species
AAAAAUUACCACCGUAACUUCGGAAGAAGGUGGGCCCUCCGUAGGUGUAGUCGUACAGACGAAGCCGAUGAGGGUUGCAGAGAAAUGGCGGUAGCGACUGUUUACCAAAAACACAGGACUCUGCGAAGACGACAAGUCGACGUAUAGGGUCUGACUCCUGCCCGGUGCUGGAAGGUUAAGGGGAUUCGUCAGCCGCAAGGCGAAGCGAUGAUCCGAAGCCCCAGUAAACGGCGGCCGUAACAAUAACGGUCCUAAGGUAGCGAAAUUCCUUGUCGGGUAAGUUCCGACCUGCACGAAUGGAGUAACGACUCCCGCGCUGUCUCGGAGAGGGACUCAGCGAAAUUGAAAUAGCUGUGCCGAUGCAGUUUACCCGCAGCAAGACGGAAAGACCCCGUGAACCUUUACUACAACUUGACAGUGACACUAGGGAUUGACUGUGUAGGAUAGGUGGAGCCUUUGAAACCGGGCCGCUAGGUUCGGUGGAGGCAACGGUGAAAUACCACCCUGUUGAUUUCUGGUGUCUAACCGUGUCCCAUAAUCUGGGAUCGGGACACUGUCUGGUGGGUAGUUUGACUGGGGCGGUCGCCUCCCAAAGCGUAACGGAGGCGCGCGAUGGUUCCCUCAGCCCGAUUGGAAACCGGGCGGCGAGUGCAAUGGCAUAAGGGAGCUUAACUGCGAGACAGACAUGUCGAGCAGGUGCGAAAGCAGGUCAUAGUGAUCCGGUGGUUCUGAAUGGAAGGGCCAUCGCUCAACGGAUAAAAGGUACUCCGGAUAACAGGCUUAUCUCCUCCAAGAGUUCACAUCGACGAGGGGGUUUGGCACCUCGAUGUCGGCUCAUCGCAUCCUGGGGCUGGAGCAGGUCCCAAGGGUUUGGCUGUUCGCCAAUUAAAGCGGUACGCGAGCUGGGUUCAAAACGUCGUGAGACAGUUUGGUCCCUAUCUGCUGUGGGCGUAGGAUACUUGAGAGGAUCUGUCCUUAGUACGAGAGGACCGGGAUGGAGACACCUCUGGUGUACCAGUUGUCACGCCAGUGGCAUCGCUGGGUAGCCAUGUGUCGAUUGGAUUACCGCUGAAAGCAUCUAAGCGGGAAACCGACCUCAAGAAUAGGUAUCCCGGGGGAAACCCCCUGAAGACCCGUCGAAGACUACGACGUUGAUAGGCCGGGUGUGUAAGCGUGGCAACACGUUGAGCUAACCGGUACUAAUUGGUCGUGCGGCUUACUUCA